ensembl:snRNA U6 U6 spliceosomal RNA
AUGUAGCAUGGUGCACAUAUAUGGAAAUCGUAACGACGCAGAGAUUAGCAUGGCUCCUGUGCAAGGAUGACACACAAAUUUGUGAUGUAUUCCACACUUUU